AUUGAACGCUGGCGGCAUGCUUUACACAUGCAAGUCGAACGGCAGCGCGGGCUUCGGCCUGGCGGCGAGUGGCGAACGGGUGAGUAAUGCAUCGGAACGUGCCCAGUAGUGGGGGAUAGCCCGGCGAAAGCCGGAUUAAUACCGCAUACGACCUGAGGGUGAAAGCGGGGGACCGAAAGGCCUCGCGCUAUUGGAGCGGCCGAUGUCGGAUUAGCUAGUUGGUGGGGUAAAGGCUUACCAAGGCGACGAUCCGUAGCUGGUCUGAGAGGACGACCAGCCACACUGGGACUGAGACACGGCCCAGACUCCUACGGGAGGCAGCAGUGGGGAAUUUUGGACAAUGGGGGCAACCCUGAUCCAGCCACGCCGCGUGCGGGAAGAAGGCCUUCGGGUUGUAAAGCGCUUUUGUUCGGGAAGAAAUCCUCUGGGCUAAUACCCCGGGGGGAUGACGGUACCGGAAGAAUAAGCACCGGCUAACUACGUG
rnacentral:rRNA from 1 species